rnacentral:rRNA from 1 species
CCCUUAGACGUUCUGGGUCGCACGCGCGCUACACUGACCAGUGCAACAAGCAUCCGUCCUUGGCCGACAGGCCCGGGCAAUCUUUGAACGCUGGUCGUGAUGGGGAUAGACUUUUGCAAUUUUUGGUCUUCAACGAGGAAUUCCUAGUAAACGCAAGUCAUCAACUUGCAUUGAUUACGUCCCUGCCCUUUGUACACACCGCCCGUCGCACCUACCGAUUGAAUGGUCCGGUGAAGCCUCCGGAUUGGCGCGCACCCCGGUGCCGCCGAGAAGUUGGCUAAACCUUACCAUUUAGAGGAAGGUGAAGUCGUAACA